UACAGAGGUCGUCAAGCGUUGUUCGGAUUCAUUGGGCGUAAAGGGUGCGAGUAGGUGGCGCUGUAAGUCGGGUGUGAAAUUUCGGGAGCUUAACUCCGAAACUGCAUUCGAUACUGCGGUGCUUGAGGACUGGAGAGGAGACUGGAAUUCAUGGUGUAGCAGUGAAAUGCGUAGAGUAUCAUGAGGAAGACCGUGGCGAAGGCGGGUCUCUGGACAGUUCCUGACACUGAGG
rnacentral:rRNA from 1 species